AGUGAACGCUGGCGGCGUGCUUAACACAUGCAAGUCGAACGAGAACGGAAUAUAGCUUGCUAUAUUUGUCAGCUAAGUGGCGCACGGGUGAGUAAUGUAUAGAUAACCUGCCCUUAAGAAAGGAAUAACAGUUGGAAACGACUGCUAAUGCCCUAUAUGCCUUUAAUACAUAAGUAUGCAAGGGAAACGCUUUAGUGCUUAAGGAUGGGUCUGUAUGGUAUCAGCGUGUUGGUGAGGUAAUGGCUCACCAAGGCUAUGACGCCUAACUGGUUUGAGAGGAUGAUCAGUCACACUGGAACUGAGACACGGUCCAGACUCCUACGGGAGGCAGCAGUGGGGAAUAUUGCACAAUGGACGAAAGUCCGAUGCAGCAGCGCCGCGUGGAGGAUGACACAUUUCGGUGCGUAAACUCCUUUUAUAUAGGAAGAUAAUGACGGUACUAUAUGAAUAAGCACCGGCUAACUCCGUGCCAGCCGCCGCCGUAAUAC
rnacentral:rRNA from 1 species